rnacentral:lncRNA from 1 species
GUUGUUUGUAGCUAGAGGGACGUCGUGAGCCUGUACUUCGCCCCUGCCAUACUCGUUUUUUUGAACAAACAUUACACCUAGGCUUAAUAACUCCAGGAAGUCCGCAACCAUAACAAAACAUUUUUAAGGGAAGUGUACACUGAACAAAAAAUGACCUCCUCCACAAUUCCAACAACCUGGAUUCUUGUGAUUGGACGUGACAGCAUUUAUUUGUUGACGGAUAGGACGGAAAGUCCGGGUAUCUGAAGAUCGAGCACUAACGUUGGACUCCAUAUCAUUCCUAGGACGAUACGAACUACUAGAAGCUUCUGUUAAAUCAAACGAUUCUUCUAAUCGUCGACACAUAACCUUUAAUUCUGCCACUGAAGAUAUAUCUACUAAAGCUAACGGCUGCAUGAAUUUUGGCAAAAGAUUACGACGAAUAUACUUCACCAUCGUUGCCUCAUCUAACUUUGUCUCCAACCGGUCAAAUAAACGUUGCAUCGAAUUAACAAAAAGAGACACAGGUUCCCUACUUUCUUGUUUCCUUGCACGAAUUUCAUCUAACAAGUCCUCUUGAUAGUUAUAUGGCAAAAA